CUGCUAGCACUGUGAUUCCUCGUUUCCACUGGUGACAAACACUUGUGUUUUACCCAAAAGUCCAGAAAUGUUUCUGUUUCCAUUGACACGGGCAAGCGCAAGUUGGCCAUGGACUGGUGCCAUGCCUCGGACUUUAGGACAUUGGGCGGGGUUGGCGCGUGACGUACAGUGAAAACGCACGGUGUUGUGCAAGUCGCGCGGACCUUUAAAUCUAGACGAGUCCACCAUUUAUAAUUCACUAUCCUCAUUGGUAUUGUGGAAGACAAUAGACUAUAUUUAAAAAAAAAUAAUAAUAAUAAUUAAGCAACACGUCGAUGUCGUUCGACUGGCCGGUGGAUGAACUCCAGGCCCUCGUUGCGUUGUACUGCGAAGAGGAAACCCAGCGGCAGUUUGAGUUGAGGGGCUAUUCGAAAAGUACUACAUAGGAGCCUGCGGUUUAUAAUUGGCUUCUCAAGUUGGGCUUCAUGAGAUCCGUCUAACAGAUCUUUGAUGGGACAAAAAAAAGCAACUAUACAAGGAUGCCUCACAAUGGAAAUAGUUGGAACGACCGAAAGCAGUUUAAAUGGCACGAUGCCAUUGACUCUAUAAUGGGAAACCGGCCAGCGGUACGGAGCGGUGUGACUCGAGUAUGGAGUGUGGUGCAGUUUCUGGAAGAGAUGCAAACCUCUGAUCUGAUUUUGAACAACUAGAGAUGCAUUCAACUUCCUCUGCCAACUCCACUGGAGAGGGUACCCUCACAAGGACACCGUUUGAACACACCUAGUCUACCUGUGAGCCAGCCCAUCCCACCAUCUCCCUCAUCAGUUUGCUGCCAAGACAAACCCUUUGGCAAAAUGAAGCGAGAAUCAGGACAGAGGGAGAUGAUAGAAGCAUUAAACGACAUGCAGACAUGUGACCAUGAUCUAUUGGAAAGAAGGCCGGAUGCCGAGCGCACAUUUGGCACAUCAGGCAUUUGAAUGUGCGAAGGAGAGGGAUGCCAGAAAAGGCAGAUGGAGGCAGUGAGGGAGCAGAUGAAGCGUUUCAAUGCCUGGUUCCUUAGUGUUUUCGGUCGGGUGGUUGACGUCCUUUUCACAAGCCGCUCCCAUCGUUGAUUUUGUGCUGGCUCACGUUCCUGCUCUUGUCCACCAUUAUAGCCUUACAUGUACAUGUCCCCCUUCCAUUUGUAAAUUGUUCUUAAUUAGAUUAGAUUCAACUAUAUUGUCGUUG